GACGAACGCUGGCGGCGUGCCUAAUACAUGCAAGUCGAACGCAGUGGGGACGGUUGAGUAACACGUGGGUAACCUCCCAUCAGAGGGGAUAACACUUGGAAACAGGUGCUAAACCGAUACUGAUGGAUGGACCCGCGGGGCAUUAGCUCGUUGGUGAGGUAAAGGCUCACCAAGGCCACGAUGCAUAGCGGACCUGAGAGGGUGAACGGCCACACUGGGACGGAGACACGGCCCAGACUCCUACGGGAGGCAGCAGUAGGGAAUCUUCGGCAAUGGACGAAAGUCUGACCGAGCCAUGCCGCGUGAGUGAAGAAGGUUUUCGGAUCGUAAAACACUGUCGUUGGGGAAGCGGUAUCUACCCAGAAAGCCACGGCUAACUACGUGCCAGCAGCCGCGGUAAUUC
rnacentral:rRNA from 1 species